CCCGGAGGUCUGAGGUGCUGUGAGCGCCCUGCUCCUCAGCCCUGCCCGCUUCAGCCCCGCCCGUCGGGCAGCCCGGUGCUUCACCCGCGUCCGGAGCGGUGCUGUUAACGCCGAGCCGCGCCUGAGGCGAGGAAAGGGUUUUCCUUGGCCCGGGCGUGAGGCGCGUGCGGGCUGAGGAGCCGUAGCCCGGCUGCUGCGCGCCUCUGCCCUGCGGGGAGUGGCUUUCAAGUUUCCUCACCGCUUUGCCGCACUUCCUCUUCCAGGCUCUCAUUUGAAAUAAUAUUUUGGUGGCUUAAGAGCCGUGGUGUUGUUAGAGUGGCAGGGCCGAAGCUGGGCGGGCUCCCUCGGUGUUCCCGAGGCGGCGGCCCUGUGUGGGCCUCGAGUCUUCGGCGGCGGUCUGUGUGGGCCUCGAGUCUUCGGUGUGUACGUGUGGAGCUCAAGUAGGAGAGGACACGGAAUCACAGCGUGCCCCGAGUUGGAAGGGACCCGUGCGGAUCAUGGAUUCCAACUGCCAGCUCCACACGAGACCCUCCAAAAAUGAGCCCACGUGUCUGCGUGUGGUACAGAUGAUUCUUGAACUCGGUCAGCUCAGUGCCGUGACCACACGGCCUGUUCCACACCCACCACCCUCUGCUGCAGAACCUUUUCCUGAACGCCUUCUGCCCAAAGCAGACUUCUGUCAUCGUUUUCUAACUCAUGCUGGUGGGUGCCGGGGUGCUGCUGAGGGCUGCGAUUGACCAUCGCGAGGCUGUAGUCAUCUCUGGAAAGCCGGGUCCCAUCUGUGUGGUGUCCAGCUUCUUCCCUGAAGGUUUCACUUCGUACUCACAAGGCCCAGAUACAUCCCUGAUCUGAGACAGAGGGAUCACCAGAGGGAAGAAGGCUGAAAGAGUUUUAGCAGCUGGCUUGAGAAGACAGGCAAUCGUGCUGAUGGAGAUGGCAGUGCGGGGUGAAGAGCUGCACAGCACUGGGGAAGGGAUGUGCCGGAGGAGCGGAGCUGAGCAGUGCGCAGGAGGAGAUGCUGGGAGCUUUGCAGGGCACUCAGCGGUGUGCCCGAGAGGAGCGCCACCUUCUCCACGCGCUGCGGAGCCUGGAGAAGAGCUGCCCAAAGUCUCCUUGCGGUGGACGUGGCCUCGUUUCCUUCAGGAUCUUCAGUGUCUGAAGGGCCAGCGAAGAGACAAAUGGACUGGGGUCUUGCUGCGCUUCCUGAAGGCCUGAGAUAAGAGAGGAACAGAGGCUCGAUGACAGCUGUGUACCUGCAGGGCGCCCAGCCGUCCCCUCCGAUAGGAGGGAGCAGGGGACAGGCACGUUGCCUGCCGGCUGUCCGGACAUCGCACUCCCUGACUCACGUUGGUAGAUGUACUCUGUCUCAGCCUGCUCCUGAUCCCUCAUGUGCUGCCCUAAGAGUCCUGGUGACAAACAGCCCCAUCAGCGACCCCAGCUUCUGCCUGGUGCAGCAUGGUGGGCCGGGGACAGGGGAACCUCAGUCUCAUGGCUCACCGAUGAACCUCACGGCCUCCCGCCGCAGGGACUCCUGCGGGCUCUGUAGGUAGAGCAGGCUCUGGCCCAGGUACUCCUGUGCUGCACUCCUCCUCCUCCUCUUGUCCAGCUGGAGUGGGAAGAGCGCAGGGUUAGCGCAGGGCGGUCCCGACCCUGUCGUGGGGUGUGGGAAUGUGCAUACCAUGCACUCGCCAAUCUGCCAGAACUGUGCUGUCUGUACCAGGUGCUCCAGCCGCCUCCAGCGCAGGAACCGUGCGGCACCAAGGAGGGCUUUCUGGGAGGCCUGCCAAACAGAGCUGAGAUGGCACUGCAGCCCAAAAGCAGCAGCAGAGCCCGCGGUCCCCAGAGCCCCUCCGCAGGGAGGAUGCAGCAGCAGCGGCUGACGCUGCCGUGGGCUGCAAUACUCUUGGUGUCUGGGGGGCACCACAGGAGCAGCAUCGCCCUCCCCCAAAUGAACGCAAUUCCCACCUUGGCCACGCUCUCUUCCUCAUCAUGCAGGUGCAGAUACAGCAGGACCAGGCUCCUGCACACCUCCUCCUGCAUCUUCCUCUUUUCUUGGUCCUCCACGUAGUUGAGCGUUUCGAGGAAGAGGUCGAUGGAGAGCUGCCGCACCGUGCUGGACUCCUGUGGAGGAGGAAGGAAGGACGUCGGUGUCAGCAGCUCCAGGGCCAUGGCAAGCAGGGCCAGCACCGCCAAUGAAGUGGGGGCAGAAUCUCUGAGCUGAGAGGCUGCAGGCAGAUCUUGAGGAUGCCCCCAGAACUGCUCCAAAGUGCACAAGCUCUGCCCUGCAGAAAGUCUGCCCAGGGCCACGCAGCCCCUGGACCUGGUGAGCGGCCAGGAAGUCCCCUGGUGUGCUGUCACAGGGCAGCAGGCAUGGGCACGCUGAGGUGGUAGCCACAUCCCUAAUGUGCUGGGCUCCCUACUAUCCUUACAUCAUUAAUGAGCGCUGGGAGCUUGCCGGCCAGAGCCAGAGCCAUGAGGCUGAGCUUGACCCCCUCCAGGAGCUGCAGCAGGUUGCUGAGUAUUGGUAAGGCCACGGCACGGAUGUCGCUGUCUGCGUCCUGCAGCAGCUCCAUGACGCACGGCAGGAAGAUGAUCAUUGGCCUUGCCUGUGGGAAGAACACCCCUUCCUUUAGGUAGAGCAGCAAGCACAGUGAGGGCAAAACCACUCCAGUACCAGCCCCGUGGACAGCAGGCAGCAAUGGGAUGGGCAGCGAGCACCAGCUCCUCACUGCAUGGAGAGGUGCUGAGCUGCAGAUGGCUCUGCUACAGCCCCAUGGCAGGCCUAGCCCGACCUGUGGCACCUGUGGCAUUCCUGGCCGCCCCUGCUCACCGUGUCCUGCCUCUGGCUCAGCUUCAGAAUGCCCCUGAGCACCAGCUGCUGCAUGCCCACGCUCUGGCUCUGCAGAUAGGUGGUAAAGAGUAUCAUGAUGCGGUGCAGCUCUUUGUUGAGGUCCACGCAGUCCAGCAUCUGCAACACACGCGGCUCUUAGUGCUGGAUCCAGCAACCCGCUUGGGGAAAGACAGCAAGGCAUGGCCAAGCCUGGUCCCGAGGGAGGCAGCAGGACUCGUGCCACCAGUGGCGUUGCAGCCUCAAGUUCACCGCUUCUGCAGCUGGUGCUCACCUCAAUGAGGAAGACCAUGGCCACCGUCUCCCAGGAGUAGAAGAAGCUGGUGCUGAGCAGCUCAACCAGGUGGUGGAAGAUGGGGUCACGCAGAGCACCAGGCAGCUCUCUCAUCACCCUGGCAGGGAUAAGAAGGCACCGUGAGCCCCGAGCCAGGGGGACGCAGCUCUGGCUGUGCAGCCCUCUUGCCAACGCCGCAGGGGCCACAGGCUGUGGUGGUGCUGUGGCAGCACUUUCUCAGAGAACUGGGGACCCCCUGCCACCCUGAGGGAGGAGUUCUCACCUGGCCACCACCUGUACACCCUGGAGGUGGGUCACAGUGCUGAGAAGCGCGUCCCAGCCGCCCUGCUCCUGGAUGGCCUCCAUCUGCCUCUGGAGGCCCACGCUGCAGAGCAGCACCUUCAAGGACUGCACCACAGCCCUGCAGGUGGAGAAGGGUGUGAGUCACAUCGGGAGCCCCAGCACCGGGUGCCUGGGUGCAGCGGGAGGACUGGGAUGUGGCACCUGAUGGGAGUGAGCUGGUGCUGCUGGUGCGCCUCGAAGAAGAUUUCCACCUCCUGCUGUGUCAGGUUCACGGUGAAGGACACUUGCAGGAGGAGGGCCAGGAAGAGCUGGGGGAAGAUGGCUUCGGCCUCCUUCAGGACCAGAGGUAGCUGGAGUAUCUCCGGUAGGACCUUUGCUGCCUGCAGAAAGCACCCGGAUACAAUUCUUGCCCUGUCCCACAGGUUUCCAUCCCAUCUCUCAAAGUGUAGGGAUGGAGGAAGGGAGGGGGAGGGAGAGCCCCAGCGCCCCAGGCAGGUCUAUGGCUGAAGAGGGAAGGGGAGUGGGGACUCAGGCUCAGCGGGGUGAGUGAGGAACUCACGGCCAGGGCGAGGACGCGUGGCCAGUCCUUGAUGAAAGGGGACGUGUGGUGCAGAGAAUGGUUUCUGAGCACUGGGAGCAGCUGCUGCAGCACCUUCUCCACGGCCGGGGGCUCCGAGAGCAUUUCCCUCCACAUGAUGACAGCGACCCUGUGGGUCCCCAGGGCUGUCAGCGUGGCUGCCCCUGCCUGGCUGACAGCCGUGGGGUGGGGGGGGGAGAGGAGCCCUGAGGGCUACAGGCCCCAUACCUGGUGCAGGUGGGGGAGCAGACCAGCAGGCUGGUAACCAUCUCCCUUGGGAAUUUGCUGACCAGCACGAGCAGGGCCCUGCCCAGGCUUUUGAGAGCCGGCUGGGCUCUGAUGGAAGGCAGGCUGCUGUAGAUCACGUUCACGAUCUUUCGCACCUGGAGGGGGACACGGGUGAGAAUGGGAUGGCAGCAGAGCAGAGCCCUGCUGCCAACCCAGCUGCUGCCUGCCGGCCAAGCGUGAUGCCAGUGCCAGGGCUGGAGCAGAGCCCCGAGGGCUGGAGCCUUGGCAGCAGCAGGUUCCCACCUCCCGUGGAGGGAAGCGAGCCUUUGCUGUGAGGACAUCCACCAUGUGGGCAGCCAGCUGGGUGCUGUGGAGGCCCGGCGCUGUCAUACUCUCGAUGGCUGUGAGUAAGAUAUUGACCGUUUCGGGGUACAGGAGGCAUUUCCGAAGCACCUGUAGGAGGAAGGAAAAGAGGGAUGACUCAUCACCUGCGUGGCUGCUCGGCCAUGCUGCUGCCUCAGGAGAACUGGGAGCAGGGGCUGGGUGACACUGGGGAUGCGGGGCGUGAGGGCCCUACGUGCACCAGGGCAUCUCGGGGACAGCUCCUGCACUCUUCCUGACUCUGCAGGCUUGGGUUCUCCUGUGGGCUCAGGGUUUGUUCCUCAUACCUCAAAGACAUUUCUGGCUCUGUCCUCAUGGGAAACCUCCUGGGGGAGCAGAGUUUGCUGGCUGUCCCAGGGCUGUGGCAUCUUGGGCUCCUUCUGCUUCGGCAACAAUCCUGGAGAGGAGCGCACGCAAUGUCAGUGAGGGGCCUGGGCAUCUGGAGGUCUGCGGGGACCUAACCCAACACAACUCCUCUCACCUGGGGCGGUGAUGAAGGUGAAAAGCUGAUGGAUAGCCUUCAUCGCCUCAUCUCUGGUCCUCUCGUCCGUGGAGCUGCAGCACAGGAUGAGGUGUCCGGCCAGCUUCCCCAGCACGGGGAGGCGUUGGUUCUCCUGGCAGUUGUGCUGGAACACUGCAGCUCUCGUGAAGCAGAAGCACAACUGGGGAGAGAGGCAGCAGAGGCGCACGGCUGAGCGGGACAGCUGGGCCCAGCCCAGGCUCUGUGCAAGCCUGGAGACGGGUGGGCUCCGGCCGGGGAGACAGGACGUGGUCCCCGGAGCUGUGCGCAAAAGGGCUCCCUACCUCGGGCAAGGGGCAGGUGUUGCAGAAGGCGAGCAGCCUGGCAAUGCACGCCACGGCCCUCUCCUCCACGGCCGCCAGCUGGCACGUGGUGAAGGGCAGCAGGAGCUGUGGAGAGAAAAGCUGCUGGUGUGCCCAGAGCACGGGUCACUGGUCAGAUCAGCACCCCCUGCCUGCAGCGGGCCCUGGGGCGACCUCGUAUAGAUUCCCCCCUUCAUGGCCUUGAACCACUCCCCCAAAUCCCAGCCUUGCCGCAGCCAGACCUCCAAGAUGUUCUGCAGCUCCAUGAGGACAGAGGUGCCGGCGCUGCCCACCAGCACCUGCAGCAGGCGGUGCAGGGCUUCCAUGGUCUGCAAGGAGGACAGGGGUCAGGGUGGCCUUCCCUGCUGCGUCCUGCUGGCAGCAGAGGGGCAUCCCGGGUGAUGGUGCCCAGGGAGCAUCCCCAGGGCCCAGCCUGCGCGCACCUCCGUGUAGGUUGCCAUGUCCAGGUCCGUGUCAGCCUCAUAGCCGGGGAGGUGGAGGACGCUGCUGAGGCAGGCACACAGGAGACUGUUCUUCUGCUUCUCUGGAAGCAGCCACGCACUGCUGUGAGGGGAGAGAGAGCAGAGGCGUGAUGCUCUGCUCGGCACCCUGUGCCCUGCUGCCUGCCCUGCUCAGGGCCCCCAGCUGGGAGCAGUGCCACCACGUUGGCCAAAGCUGGGCUGGGGCCGUACCUCAUGGUGGCGAUGGCGCUCAUGGCCUGCUGCCGCAGCUCUGUGUCCAGGCGGUCGGCGGGCUCCUCCUGCAGCAGCUCCUGAGAGCACAGUGGGAUGGGAUGGGAUGGGAUGGGAUGGUGAGGUGUGCCCUGCUUGGUAGGCAGAGCCCGGGCACCCCAUCCUGGCCCCACAUCCCAACUCCCGGGCUCCCCAGGGACCCCGCAGUGGGAAGGGCUGUGCCCAGCGCCCGGCCCUGCGGUGCUCCCCUUACCUCAAUGCACUGCGCCACCUCUGAUGCGCAGGCACUCAGGUGCUUGUGAGCCUCUCUGUCCUUGAGGGCAGCUGUGCAGGCGGUGCGGACGCAGGCCAGAAAGCUCAGCUUCUGUGCCUGUGCCUGAGACAGGGAGGGGAGUUACAGGUGUCGGCAUCAGGGGACCCCGGCACCCUCUGGGCAUGGCCGGGCAGGGGCAGCCCGGGAAGCACAGAGUGCCCGCUACCUGGGGUCUGCGUGUGCAGCAGGCACGGAUGCAGCUCAGGGGAUCCUCCUCCUGCGGUGACACGACGGAGGCUGAAGGAUCCUCAGCUGAGUCCACGGGCCCCUGCAGGGGCUGCACCCCACACACCUUACGAGGCCCGUGCUGGGCCAUGGAGGUGCGGGAUGCCCUAGGCUUCUCCAGCCAGGCCUCUCGGGGUAGGCUCGGGGAUCUCUGUUCCAUCUCGCAGUGAGGGAACAGCGGCAAAUGCGCCUCCUGUUCCAACUCUGCCUUCAGGGGGACGAGGCCCACUGUGACGUGGCAGGGAUGUCACCGCAUUCUACCCGGCUCCACCCAGGCCCCCUUCCCUUGCCCUGGGCGUGGCCCAGAGCCCCGCAGCCAUCCCUGUCCGUGGGCAGUUUUGGUCUGGGAGGAGCCCUCGACUUCACUGUGUGCAUUUGCCACAGCUGCAGCGUUGGGGUCUGGGAGUCCUUCUCGGGGCCCUUCAGCCCAUCCCCGCAUCCCCCCCAGUAAAAUUAAACUGUGUCACGGUUUCCAGUGGGACGGAGUUGAUUUUUCCUUCUUGGCAUAUGGUGCUCUAUUUUGGCUUUAGGAGAAACACAAACAGGGUUGAUGACACGGCAGCGUUUCUAGCUGUUGCUGAGCAGUGCUGCACUGAGCUGUGGGCAUUUCAGCUUCUCCUUGUGUCCUGCUGGUGAAAGGCUGAGGGGGUACCAGGAGCCGGGAGCGCACAGAACUGGGGCGGCUUGUGGCAACUUAGGCAUGGACUCCGUUGCUAGUGCAGGACAAAGACCUUUAUUGUACAUGGUCACAACCCUUUAUACCCCUGCAACAGCGCCUUGUCCUCGUGCAUAUUUACAUCUUGCACAACUGCUGAGCUUGUUUACUCAUCCCAAGGUCUUUUGGAUAUCAGUGCGCUUUGUUUUCAUGUGGUCCCACAUCUGUGCACACCGUCACAAGGGGCGGGCAGCAACAUCUCCAUUGCAAGCUCUGUUAUGCAAGAUGGAGAGAUGGAAGUAAGAACUCAGGGGAGCAAAGAUCCUUGGUUUUAUUUUAGUAUCGUGAUGCUGGUGUGCCUGUUCAUAUUUCUUGGGAUUUAUACACAGUUGAAAAUGUGAUCGCUGUCUGAUUUGAUUAAAUCUCAUUGCAGUACCAUCUGCAAACAACACUCAACUGGGAGGAGCUGCAGAGAGAUGCUGACAAAUUGGAGGGCUGGGCAACUGCGCAGUUGGUAUGAAGUUUAGGAGAGCAAGUGGUGGAUUCUGCCACUGGGAUGGGACAGCCCUGGCUCUGUGCACACCCUGCGGGAGGGGAGGCUGCAGAGCAGCCCCACAAAAGGGCUUGGGGGGUUCUGGUGAACGGCAAGUUGCAUCUGAGCCGGCAGCGUGCCCCGACAGCCCAAAGGGCCAACCGUACCCUGGGGCGCAUCAGGCCCAGCACUCCCCAGGAAAGGACCGUCCCGCUCUGCUCUGCUCUGCUCUGCUCUGCUCUGCUCUGCCCGGUGCAGCCCGUGAGAAUGUCCGACACCGCUUCCUGAAGGGGUUGCAUUCUGCUUGGGAUCUGUGCCCAGCAGUGCCUGCAGCCUGCCCUGCUGCGCCGUGAGAAGGCAGGUCCUAGCCUGGGCUCAGAUGGCUGCAGGCCCUCGUUGCUGUUGGUUCCUAAGGCUUCCAAGGCGAUGCUUUGGCAUCCCCCACUUAGCCAGGUGCCGCUCCCCCCAUCCCCUUGGCUUGCUUAUGCACAGCUGCUCCGGUCAGGGCCUGCCCCUGGGCAAUCCCCGUGCCUUCCCUGGAGGCUCUUCUGAAAUGCAGAACUGACACACGGGUUUGGUAUGCACUUCUGAAGCGUGUCCAUAAUGACUGGGGGCAGCUUUUUCACUCUUUCUCCUUAGGGCAGCAGUGUGCAGCAGUUAGGAUGGCACGCUCCUCCCUUUCCGUCCGAGGCUGGCAUUAGCAAAUGGGUGUGUGUGGCAUGCAGACGUUAUUCUGCCUUCUGCUCUUUGUGACUGAGAAUCUGGAGCUCCUCAGUUACAAAACUCAUUAAGCAACUGCUCAAACUUCAGUUUCUACUCCCUUUUGCGAGACAAACUUUAAAAUCAGGCAGGGGUUUCACCUUAAAAAAAAUCAGGCGAGACAAGUGGGAAAGGUUUAUGGUUCUGACACCUAUUUUCAGAAGUAUCAGCCUACGAAUCCACAUGGUUUUAAACAACACAAGAUAGGAAGGAUAUGAGAGAUAUUAAACUAUUUAUUUACAGAGCUUUUCGACAAUAACACGACUGUCUAACAGACAUUCUGGUGUUAACUACGUCCCUGUGCUCCCUAUCUGUCUGCUGCUGGCCCAGUCUCUUCUCCCACACGAGGCACUUCACACUGACGGCGUCAGCCGUGCUCUCCUCUCCCAUCCAGUUCUUCCUUCCUCAUCCUGGGUCCGGAGGGCAUCAUCGAUGCUGAGGUUAUGGGAGAAGAGUAACUUCGGUGCUUCCAGCCGAGAAGUGCCCUUUGCAAGGAAAGAAGAUGCAGAACGUCUCUGGCCAUCCUCACCUCCUCCGCUGCCCCAGGCUCAUCUCAUGGGAACGCCCCUCCCAGCCAGGAGGACUUGCUGGGAGCUGGGCCAUGCGCACACACGCGGCCGUCCCUCGCUCUGAGCAGAAGGUGCGUCCUCUUCUCCCCGACGAUCUGCCGGCCGGUCCCGUCUGCCCAACAGCCGCUGUUCUUCUGCCGGCGCUAGGGCAGCACCGGGCGCUGUUCCUGCCUCCAGCUGCGGAGGAGGCAAAGUGACGGCCAGGGGCUCAAGCAGCGCAUCUGCAGCACAGACAAAAGAAGUUCCUGUUAUCGCGAGCCACUGUCUGUCUCAUUAUCAGCUACCUCUCCAUCAAGAACGUUGCUUUCCACGACCUAUGUCCCCAUGACAUACCUAGCCAUGCCCUCCCCCUGCCCCUCGCACAGCCCGCACUGGGCUGCCAGCCCAUCACCUGCAGCUGCCCUGGUGGGGCCGCAGCUGCAAGCGGGGCAGUGCGGGGCUGCUGGGGCUGCCAGGGAGGCGGCUGCAGCACGAGUACCUUCCUGUGAGCAGAAGGCGCGUCUUCUUCUCCGUGAUGCUCUGCUGGCAGGACGGGUCUCUGCAGAGCUGCUGUUCUUCUGCCAGCGCUGGGGCAGCAUCAGGCGUUGGUCUUCACCCCAUGCUGGCGGGGAGAGUGGUGUCCCAGGACACAGUGGCUCGUCUGAAACAGAGAUAAAGUUCUUUUCAGCAACUUUCUAUAUUGUACUCUAUAAACUAACUAUCUCCCAGUCACCCAUCUUUCUAUCCUGCAUCCCCCUAUCAGCUAUCUGGCUAUGAUCUAACUACAUCACUACCAACUCUUGCUUGCUGCUAACUACCUUGCUAUCCACAAACCUCCUCUCUACCAAUAACCCACCUAGCUAUCUGCUAUCUGUUCACUGCCUGUACCACCAUCAGCUAUCUAUCUCACUAUCUAUGUCGCUAUCAACUAUCAUGCUACCCACUAACUAUCUAUACAACAACUAUCUCUAUAUCCUCUUCUUCAUCAUCUACAUCUACCGGCCCCUGAUCCCCCCCCGGGGCUGCUCUCCUCCCGUCCCUCACACUGCCCGCUCUGGGCUGCCAGCCCGUGAUCUCCAUGCUGGUAGGCGGGGCUGCUGGGGGCUGCUGGCGGCUGCGAAGGAAGCCGGGGGCUGCAGCACGGCCAGAGGGGCUGCCAAAAAAUCCGGGGGCUGCAGCACGGCCAGAGGACGGGCUGCAGCCAAGGAAGCCAGGGGCUGCAGCACGGCCAGAGGGGCUGCAGCCACCACCGGCCCCAGCAGCACGGGCACUGCCAGCCAGGGGUGGCAAGGGCAGGCAGGGCGGCCCAGGGAGCCCGCAGCGGCGGUGGGCA
ensembl:lncRNA